UACGUAGGUGGCGAGCGUUGUCCGGAUUUACUGGGCGUAAAGAGCGCGCAGGCGGUCGUGCAAGUCGCGUGUGAAAGCCCCCGGCUCAACUGGGGAGGGUCACGCGAUACUGCUCGACUCGAAGGCAGGAGAGGGAAGUGGAAUUCUCGGUGUAGCGGUGAAAUGCGUAGAUAUCGUUUGGAACGCCAAUGGUGAAAACAGGUCGCUGGGGAUGAGCUGACGCUGAGACACGAAAGCCAGGGGAGCAAACGGG
rnacentral:rRNA from 1 species